rnacentral:rRNA from 1 species
AACGAACGCUGGCGGCAGGAUUAACACAUGCAAGUCGAACGCAUCGCAAGAUGAGUGGCAGACGGGUGAGUAACGCGUGGGAACAUACCCUUUUCUACGGAAUAGCUCUGGGAAACUGGAAUUAAUACCGUAUACGCCCUUUACUGGUGGACAGUUUAGGGGAAAGAUUUAUCGGGGAAGGGUUGGCCCGCGUUGGGUUAGCUAGUUGGUGGGGUAACGGCCUACCAAGGCGACGAUCCAUAGCUGGUCUGAGAGAAUGGUCAGCCACAUUGGGACUGAGACACGGGCCAAACUCCAAGGGGAGGCAGCAGUGGGGAAUAUUGGACAAUGGGCGAAAGCCUGAUCCAGCCAUGCAGCGUGGGUGAUGAAGGCCUUAGGGUUGUAAAGCUCUUUCACCGAUGAAGAUAAUGACGGUAGUCGGAGAAGAAGCCCCGGCUAACUUCGUGCCAGCAGCCGCCGUAA